rnacentral:rRNA from 1 species
GAUCCUGGCUCAGAACGAACGCUGGCGGCGUGCUUAACACAUGCAAGUCGAACGCGAAAGGGACUUCGGUCCUGAGUAAAGUGGCGCACGGGUGAGUAACGCGUAGAUAACCUGUCUUAUGUCUGGAAUAAUACGCCGAAAGGGGUACUAAUACCGGAUAUUUUUUGCAUUGCAUAAGCAGUGUAAGCAAAGGUGGCCUCUGACAUAAGCUACUGCAUAAAGAGGGGGUCUGCGUACCAUUAGCUAGUAGGUGGGGUAAAGGCCUACCUAGGCUACGAUGGUUAGCGGGUCUGAGAGGAUGAUCCGCCACACUGGCACUGGAACACGGGCCAGACUCCUACGGGAGGCAGCAGUGAGGAAUAUUGCGCAAUGGGGGCAACCCUGACGCAGCGACGCCGCGUGAAGUGAGGAAGGCCUUCGGGUCGUAAAGCUCUGUCAAAGGGAAAGAAGUGCAUGGUGGUUAAUACCUGCCAUGUUUGACGGUACCCUUAAAGGAAGCACCGGCUAACUCCGUGCCAGCCGCGGC